AGCCAGGUGGAAUUCUGGGCUCCUGGCUUCCGUCCUGCGCAGCCCUGGCUGUGGCAGGUACUAUGCAGAGUCAACCAGCAGAUGAAAGAUCUCUCUCCGUCUAUCUCUCUAGCUUUUAAAUAAAAUAAAGGCAAAUUAAAACUAAAAAUAAAAACAACCAGUACCACCCAAAAACCCCAGUCGCCUCACUUCAGUGUGCAGGUAUAGACCCCGAGGUGGGCUCCGGUCUCCAGCUGCUGCUGGCCACUCCCGAAAGUCAGAGGCGGAGCGGCUCAGCGACCGGGCUAGGGCGGCUGCAGAGCCGGCGGGUUUCCAGCUGGGCGGUUUCCUGCGGAGCGCGGCCCUGGGAGACGCGGGGUCUGCUGGCCCCGCUCCAGCCCCUCUGUAGCCGGAGUCAGGUCCGUGGAGUGGAGGAUGGAGCCAGGGGAAGGCGUAGACGCCGGGUCUCUCCGCCCCGAUCCUGUCUUUCCUACCGAAGAAACCCUGGCGCGCGUUUUUUUUUUUCCGGGUGCGAUCGGCGCCCUGCUUUAUCCAGGAAAACUCUGAAUAAUUAUUAUGGGGUGAGGAUAGGGGGGUGAGGGAAUCAGGUAAAUCAGAAAAGGAACGACAGAAACAGCCCCGGCAGGUGUCUGUGCGCCGCGCGGUCGCUGUUACACCGCGCCCCUGGCCCCCAACGGUUCCACUCCUGACCCAAGUUUGGCCCCCUUAUUUCGCCUCUAGAAACAGAUAUCAACGAAAAACAAUCCUGGAUGUAAGCAUACAUCUAUCUACACCGACGUUUAGCACAGCAACUGAUAACGCAUUCGUCAACAACAACUAAAUACAACUGAACGUUUAAACAUAAUCUUUACAGUGGCACAAACAGAAAUAGUGGAUCAAGUUCUAAACCCCAAUCUUCAGAGGACACCAAGGUUUCCAGAACCAGGCCUAGAUCGGUCAGAGACUGGUGGCAUGGAGGCACUACUUUUGUCCCCAAGGAGACUGAUUCUGUCCACAGCGUGGAGUUCCCGCUGUGCAGACACCGACUGUUUAAUGAACAAAGAAGGUGGCCCUUGUCAUGCCAGAGCCCAGAACACGGUGGUGCAGAUCUACUUUAAAUCACUAGUGGAUGUUGUCGCUCUCUUUUGGUAAAAUGAUAACAUGCUUAUUUCCAAAGAAUGUGGUUGAAGAUAAAUCUUUGUGCAUUUAGGAUCAAAUAUGCACGCAAAUAUAAAAUACUAAAAUAUACACGCGAUGGCUGAAUUUAAAUAGAGUGCAAAGCCAGUGUAUUUGCACUUAAAAUGACUAAAGAAACUUAAAUCACCCUGCUUGCUGACAGAUUGCAUGGAGCCCAUGGCAGUCUAUCUUCUUUUUAGCAAUUUAUCAACCAAUCAUUAAGUGAGUUAACUCUACACUCGGGGAAUGCUGAUGGCAGCAUUAGCCAUAAAUAAAUAAGCUAAUAUGUACAAUGGCUAAAUGAAUAGGCUUUGCCUUGUUGUUUUACGGCCCGAAAAGAACGCAGCUCUUCAUUAAAGGAAUCAUUAGAAAAUGUGGAAA